rnacentral:rRNA from 1 species
GACGAACGCUGGCGGCGUGCUUAACACAUGCAAGUCGAACGGAAAGGCCCUGCUUUUGUGGGGUGCUCGAGUGGCGAACGGGUGAGUAACACGUGAGUAACCUGCCCUUGACUUUGGGAUAACUUCAGGAAACUGGGGCUAAUACUGGAUAGGAGCUCCUGCUGCAUGGUGGGGGUUGGAAAGUUUCGGCGGUUGGGGAUGGACUCGCGGCUUAUCAGCUUGUUGGUGGGGGAGUGGCUUACCAAGGCUUUGACGGGUAGCCGGCCUGAGAGGGUGACCGGCCACAUUGGGACUGAGAUACGGCCCAGACUCCUACGGGAGGCAGCAGUGGGGAAUAUUGCACAAUGGGCGGAAGCCUGAUGCAGCAACGCCGCGUGCGGGAUGACGGCCUUCGGGUUGUAAACCGCUUUCGCCUGUGACGAAGCGUGAGUGACGGUAAUGGGUAAAGAAGCACCGGCUAACUACGUG